rnacentral:rRNA from 1 species
CCAGACUCCUACGGGAGGCAGCAGUGGGGGAUAUUGCACAAUGGGGGAAACCCUGAUGCAGCGACACCGCGUGGGUGAGGAAGCGCUUCGGCGUGUAAAGCCCUAUCAGUGGGGAAGAAAAAGGACGGUACCCAAAGAAGAAGCACCGGCUAAAUACGUGCCAGCAGCCGCGGUAAUACGUAUGGUGCAAGCGUUAUCCGGAAUGACUGGGUGUAAAGGGAGCGUAGACGGUUGUACAAGUCUGAUGUGAAAGCCCACGGCUCAACUGUGGGAGUGCAUUGGAAACUGUAGAACUAGAGUAUCGGAGAGGCAAGUGGAAUUCCUAGUGUAGCGGUGAAAUGCGUAGAUAUUAGGAGGAACACCAGUGGCGAAGGCGGCUUGCUGGACGAAAACUGACGUUGAGGCUCGAAAGCGUGGGGAGCAAACAGGAUUAGAUACCCCAGUA